GAUGAACGCUAGCUACAGGCUUAACACAUGCAAGUCGAGGGGAAACGAUAUUGGAAGCUUGCUUCCGAUAGGCGUCGACCGGCGCACGGGUGAGUAACGCGUAUCCAACCUGCCCACCACUUGGGGAUAACCUUGCGAAAGUAAGACUAGUACCCAAUGACGUCCCUAGAAAACAUCUGAAAUGGAUUAAAGAGUUAUGGGUGAUGGAUGGGGAUGCGUCUGAUUAGCUUGUUGGCGGGGUAACGGCCCACCAAGGCGACGAUCAGUAGGGGUUCUGAGAGGAAGGUCCCUCACAUUGGAACUGAGACACGGUCCAAACUCCUACGGGAGGCAGCAGUGAGGAAUAUUGGUCAAUGGGCGAGAGCCUGAACCAGCCAAGUAGCGUGCAGGAUGACGGCCCUAUGGGUUGUAAACUGCUUUUAUAAGGGAAUAAAGUGAGCCUCGUGAGGCUUUUUGCAUGUACCUUAUGAAUAAGGACCGGCUAAUUCCGUGCCAGCCGCCGCGGUAA
rnacentral:rRNA from 1 species